rnacentral:rRNA from 1 species
UACGAAGGGGGCUAGCGUUGCUCGGAAUUACUGGGCGUAAAGGGCGCGUAGGCGGCUUGGCCAGUCAGGCGUGAAAUUCCUGGGCUCAACCUGGGGACUGCGCUUGAUACUGCUAAGCUUGAGGCCGAGAGAGGGUGGUGGAAUUCCCAGUGUAGAGGUGAAAUUCGUAGAUAUUGGGAAGAACACCGGUGGCGAAGGCGACCACCUGGCUCGGUACUGACGCUGAGGCGCGACAGCGUGGGGAG